AGCGCAGCCGGCUCGAUUAGUCUGGAGUGAAAGCCCGGGGCUUAACCCCGGAGGGUCUUCGGAUACUGUCGAGCUCGAGUACGGAAGAGGAGAGUGGAAUUCCAGGUGUAGCGGUGAAAUGCGUAGAUAUCUGGAGGAACACCGGUGGCGAAAGCGGCUCUCUGGUCCGAUACUGACGGUCAGGCUCGAAAGCGUGGGGAGCAAACGGGAUUAGAUACCCCGGUAGUCCACGCCGUAAACGUUGUGCGCUAGGUGUGGGAGGUAUCGACCCCUCCCGUGCCGCAGCUAACGCACUAAGCGCACCGCCUGGGGAGUACGGUCGCAAGACUGAA
rnacentral:rRNA from 1 species